CGUUCCCGGGUCUUGUACACACCGCCCGUCACACCACGAAAGUCGGCAACACCCGAAGCCGGUGGCCCAACCCGCAAGGGAGGGAGCCGUCGAAGGUGGGGCUGGCGAUUGGGGUG
rnacentral:rRNA from 1 species